GGGGAAUAUUGCGCAAUGGGGGAAACCCUGACGCAGCAACGCCGCGUGGGUGAAGAAGGCCUUCGGGUUGUAAAGCUCUGUCUUCUGGGACGAUAAUGACGGUACCGGAGGAGGAAGCCACGGCUAACUACGUGCCAGCAGCCGCGGUAAUACGUAGGUGGCAAGCGUUGUCCGGAUUUACUGGGCGUAAAGGGAGCGUAGGCGGAUAUUUAAGUCAGAUGUGAAAUACCCGAGCUUAACUUGGGUGCUGCAUUUGAAACUGGAUAUCUGGAGUGCAGGAGAGGAAAGUGGAAUUCCUAGUGUAGCGGUGAAAUGCGUAGAGAUUAGGAAGAACACCAGUGGCGAAGGCGACUUUCUGGACUGUAACUGACGCUGAGGCUCGAAAGCGUGGGGAGCAAAC
rnacentral:rRNA from 1 species